rfam:Cephalotus follicularis DNA, scaffold: scaffold586, isolate: St1.
AAUGGUGUGAAAGUGCUUCCUUCAGCCCACUCAUGGGUGGGAUUAAGGGGUUGAAUUAGCUGCCGACUCAUUCAUUCAAGCACCCAGUAAAAAAAGGGAUUAUUAUUUUUGUUACUGUGAUUGUGUGAAUGAUGCGGGAGAUUAUUUUCCAUUCCUCCCUCGCUGUGCUUGGACUGAAGGGAGCUCCUUCUUUCAAUUUA